UGGGGGAUAUUGCACAAUGGGCGAAAGCCUGAUGCAGCGACGCCGCGUGGGGGAUGAAGGCCUUCGGGUUGUAAACUUCUUUUGCUCUGAACAAGGCGCACCAUGGGGUGUGUUGAGUGUAGGGGUUGAUUAGCGCCGGCUAACUACGUGCCAGCAGCCGCGGUAAUACGUAGGGCGCGAGCGUUGUCCGGAAUUAUUGGGCGUAAAGGGCUUGUAGGUGGCUGGUUGCGUCUGUCGUGAAAGCUCAGGGCUUAACUGUGGGUUUGCGGUGGGUACGGGCUGGCUUGAGUGCAGUAGGGGAGGCUGGAAUUCCUGGUGUAGCGGUGGAAUGCGCAGAUAUCAGGAGGAAUACCGGUGGCGAAGGCGGGUCUCUGGGCUGUUACUGACACUGAGGAGCGAAAGCAUGGGGAGCGAACAGG
rnacentral:rRNA from 1 species